GGGUAUUGUGCCGCGUGUGGGGGGAGAAUUCCUACGGGUGGGUUUCCGAAUAUUGUGUUCAACUUUUUGAAAGCAGCUCGUGACCCCGAAACUGCAUCCCCCGGAGCCGGGGACCCAGGCGCCGGGCGGGCGGGUGAACCCGGUCAGUCCCCUCCCCGUCCCCGAAACCCCCGCCUCCGGGUGGUGGCGACCUGGCCUCUCCCUGCCACUGCCCGGCCAGCCCCGGAGGGAGGCUGGGCAGGUGCUGCGGGCUCUGCCGAAAGCGCUGAAAUAAAAAACCAUCGCCACUCAGGGAGAACUGAGGCAAGUGGGGCUGAGACUCUGGCGACACCCCCGCCCCCCAGCCUCUGCCCCAGCGCCUGCCGCCCUGCCGCCCUGCCGCACCCCGCCUGCUUGGGUGGCGACCGCGGUUCCGGAACGCGAAGCAGGGCAGAGGGCUGCAGAGAGGCGUGUAGCUUUGUGCGCCAGGACCCGGUGGGGCAGGUGGCAGCCCCGGGCUGUCCGCGCCUCCCAGCAGAGCCGAGCUCGGCGCCGCCCACCGAGCCCACCUCGCGGUCCAGCCGCCGCCAGCGCCUUUCGGCUCUGGCCUGAAGCAGUACUCCCGCCUCCUGGAGCGGGGAAAGCCAACGGGUCUGCAGGCCUCCGGGAGACGAGGAUCCGGAGGGUUGGGGCAGCUGCACCCACUUGGCCUUGCUCAGCUCUAAACAGCCGACCAGGAGGCCGGGGGAAGGUUUGCCCUGUGGGGGCAACGCCCCUUCCGGCUCCCAGGAUGUCGGGAGGCGGAGGCUGGCCGGGUGGCCCGUAGUCUGGGCCUCCCCGCAAGCUGCAAACUGAGGCGCUUGGCGCGGGCGGCCAGGGAGGGCGCAGGGGAGCGCAGCACGCAGGCGGGGAGGCCGCGAAGCCCUUCAAGGACCCCGAUUACUUUCCUUUGAAAAACAACAACAACAACUGCUCCCUCCCCGCACCCCCGCCCCCCGCCUUAGCCUCCGGGGACUGGCGCUCCAAGCAAUUGUCGCCCCGGACAGUAAACACAGCUCAGUUGCCUCAACUUUCUCCAUGCAUAAAAGUUCCUGGCGUGCGGGGAAAUUUGAAUAUUUGAUCAGCCCCUUUGAGUGACCCUCAUUAGUCCGGCGCCCUGCUAAGGCCGGGCAUUGCAAGAAAGCUGCUGGGCUCGGCAUUUGUACGCCUUGUUAGCGCAGCUUAAUGAAGCCGCCCCGACGGCUCAAAGGCGGCCUCAGGGGCCGGCGACGCGCACCUCUCGGCACCCUGCUCUGCCUAAUGAGCCCCGCCGCCCUCUAAAGGACCCUCCACCCCCCACAUUCUGAAACAGGGGAAGUUUGGCUCUGUCUUGAACCACGGCACCUCCCACUGCCAGGCCCAGGAGGGUGGGCACAAACCCAGCCUAGCUGCCUGCAGUUACCCAUUCCCAAGAGAGAGGGGCUGGAGAGUUGGGAGGUGUGAGCCAUACUGGUUGGGGGCAGUGCAGGGAGGGGAGCGGGUGGCAGGAGAGGCUUUUGCUGUCUCAGGAUCCAGCCCAGGGAGUGCACUGCCAGCCUCUCCCAAGUGGACCAAUUGCAAAUCAAUUAGUCACUCCAGUUCCUUAAAGGUGCAUCUGGACUAAUGCUGGGGUGGCUGAGGGUCAGCCUUCCAUCCUCCUAUCACCUUAGGUUCCCUUGGCUUCCACUGCCCAGAGGCCACACACUUCUUCCCAAGGUUCCCCUUCUGAACAGCCAGACCUGGUGUGCCAGGACUUGGAUUUGAGAAAGGGUGGGCAGCUCCCCUCCCUAACCCAUCAUUGCCUCCACCAUUCACAGAGCCCAGUCACAUGUUAUGACAAGUGGCAGUAGGGAAGGCAGGGGACCACAGCCCGUCCUGCACUCCCCCUCAACAGAGGUAUCCCUUCUUUGGCUUCUAGUCCCAGGGAGGCCUGGCAAAAAAAGUGCUAUAGGCAAGACCACCCUGCAAGACUGGCCUGGCAGCCUGGCAGAGAGGCAGAGAGCCAGAGCCCUGGAAGGAAGGGAAACCAAAGCAGUCAUCUACUUCACCUUUUCUUAGUGGGGCAGCUGACAUGGCUGGCCAGUAAAUAUAAGACACCCUCUUAAAAAUUGUGCUUCAGUCCUCAGGAAGUGUAGCCUUCCUUCCCUUUCUGUCUCCCCUCUCCUCUGAUGCCCUUUUCCCUGGACAGUCGGAGCUCAAGGUCCUUCACUCCCUCCUUGCAUACACAGCUCUUGGGCCCUUAAGGGUUACUUUUGGGGGGAAUUAAUGCUCUGGGCUUGGGAAGCAGGCUGCUCCAAAUCCACACUCAGGACUUUCUGGACCCCACCCCCCAACACACAAACACAAACAUGCCCAGGAUCCCUCAGACACACAGUGGGCCUGGUCAGGUUGGUAACCUCAGGACCCCGUGCCCGCGUGAGCGUCUCUGGGAGGUCGUGGAAAGGAACCAAAAGGCCAGGUAGGCCCUGGGAUACAGAGAGCCCUCCAAGUCCAUCUGGUUUGCUUCUCUUCCUUUCUCUCUCCCUAGCUCCGCUAGCAUGCCCUGCCCCAUUUCCCAUCACAUAACCCCCUAACUUAACCCUAAACUGGCAAUCUUUAGGCAUCACCUCUGAGCUGGGCAAAGGCGGUGCCCGGGCCUUGAUCGACCCAGAGGGCUAAAGUAGGGGCGGGGAAGGGAGGGGUGUGCGCUGCUGGUGAGAAAGGGGACCUGAGGCGAGGGUAGAACUCAGCCCUGUGGCCUCGAGGCCAGGCCCACCGGCUGCUCAGGGGAGGAGGCGAGGGGAGGGGGCUGGGAGUCCGCAGGCAUCGGUCGGGGCAGCAGGGACCUCAGGCGUCGGCGUGGGGGGCUAGAUCCGGAGGAGAGGGGAGGGGAGGCGGGGGUCGGGGGAUCGCGCAGGGCGGAGGAGGGGUGCAGCUCUUUAAGAGCCACACGGCUGGCAGGAGAGGCGCGCGGCCCGGUGCUGGUAGAGCACUGACCCCGAAGGGGAUUUAGCGGGAAGAGAGUGGCCGGGCUCUGGGGGUUUUGUCCGAGGGGGCCGGGAGAGGCCGAGACACAAGAAUAAGGAGCGGCCGCGGCAUGAAAGGCGGCGAGGAGAGGCAGCACUGCUGCUCUUGACUUCUGAGCAGGGCUUAGAGAGCCUGCCCCGGCUUAAGCCGAGCUGCUGGUGCUGACCCUGAGCGCCGAGUCCGCGAGCUCUGAGUCCGGAGCCUCCCAGCCGUGGAGCCGUGGGAUGAGGGGGGCGUUGGGGGACAGGGCAAAGUCGAUCUUGGUUGUACAGCCGCCCGAUCCUAGCGCGGAGCUGCGAGCCUGACCGGCCGCGUCUGGCAUGGUCAGAGAAAGAAUUUUCUUUUCCCAACUCCGGCUUUUGGUUUUGUGUGUCCACCUUGCGCAACUCCGGAGCCAGCCGACCCCACAUGGAUUCUCAACAGGUGGCCGGUGUCAACGCGCUAGAGAGGCCGUCUCACCUCCAAAGGUAUCUUCACUCCCGGAGGGCCCGGGCUCCCAGCCGCAGUCCCACACUGGGCCCGCGCGCCGGAUACGAGGUGCUCCGACGGCAAAAAUCCCAUACAUUUUUAACUACAGUGAUUACUAAAUUAAUAGCAGGCACUAAGACAGAUGUCAAAACGUCUUGAAAAUGUUUAUCUGUGAAUAAUUGAGAAGGUGGUGGGACGCAUUAUCUGAUUGUGUAAUGAAAUAUGUAUGAGGAACAGCUGUUUGCAACAGUCCCCUCCCGCCGCCUCCUCAGCCAAGGCCCUUCUCUAGGAAGCAGGAGUCGCGGCGAAGUUGGUCGCCUACUUCCGUCCACUUGGGAGCCCUCGCGGCCCCUCCCCGGCUGCUGGCAGAAUGGUGGCUCCAGCGCGCCCCAGAGUAGUCCGGUUUCCCGACGGACAACAGCAUGGAGUCCUCCUCAGCCUCGCUCUGUGGGCUCCGUGCCUGAGUGAGGCUCCACCGCCGGCCGCGCUGUCCCUCGCGCCUUCGGGGCCGGCCGCGGGCUCGGCCUGCGGGGACCGAGGGGAGCACUGGCCCGGGCGGCCGCGGAGGCCUGACGUGCGCCCACCGGGCGGUGCGGCCUGCUCGGAGGCGAGGCCCGGGAGCCCCGCGGCUCAGCGGGGCGGGCCUGGGGUCACCGAGGGGUGACGGGGCUCCGGAGAGGGCUUUGUUCGCGCUCUCGCCACACUGCGCACUUCCUUCCAGCCCCCUGCGGCCCCCACCCCAAACCUCCGCGCCCCCGCCCUGUUUGUUUUUCCAGCCCCGCGCCCUCCACCCCAACACGCAAACAGCCCUCGGGGCUGCGUCAGCGGCCUGAGGCCGUGGCCCAGGUCAGGCCUGAGUCCAAAUGGGGCCAGCACGGCGAGCCCUGGCCCCGCAGGAAGCGGUGUGAGGGGGAGAGGGAGCUCCAGGGCCUUCCUGGCGCGAGAGGGGCAGGCGAAGGCCGGGGGGAAGGUGGUCCAAUAGGGCGCACGGCCUGGGCGGGCGGCGAAGGCCCGAGGCCUGGGCUCGGAAGGGUGCGGGCGGCCUGCGCGGCUGCCCAGCCCCUGCCGCUGUCCCCAGCCCCAGCUGGACAGGGGAGGCGCGGCGGAGUGGGGGUGAGGAGGACGCCAGGAAGGGCCCCAUCGGGCCUGGGCCUUGAAG
rnacentral:lncRNA from 10 species